GAUUGUAAAGCACUUUAAGUUGGGACGAUUUGCAGUAAGUUAAUACCUUGCUGUUUUGACGUUACCAACAAAAUAAGACCGGUAACUUCGUGCCGCAGCGGGUAUGGA
rnacentral:rRNA from 1 species